AACACGUGGAUAAUCUACCCGACAAUCAGGGAUAACAUUUCGAAAGAAAUGCUAAUACCUGAUAAGCCUACGCCCUCCUCGGAGGAAGUAGGAAAAGGUGGGGACCUUCGGGCCUGCCGUUGUCGGAUGAGUCCGCGGCCCAUUAGCUAGUUGGUAGGGUAAUGGCCUACCAAGGCUACGAUGGGUAGCUGGUCUGAGAGGAUGAUCAGCCACACUGGAACUGAGACACGGUCCAG
rnacentral:rRNA from 1 species